rnacentral:rRNA from 1 species
GGGUCGCCUGUUUAUCAAAAACAUCGCUCCUUGAUAACAAAACAUAUAAGGAGUCAGGCCUGCCCAGUGAUAUAUUUCAACGGCCGCGGUACUCUGACCGUGCAAAGGUAGCAUAAUCAUUUGCCCUAUAAUUAAGGGCUCGUAUGAACGGUCCGACAAGAAUAAAGCUGUCUCUUUUAAAAUUACUAAAAUUUGGUUUUUAGGUGAAGAAACCUAAAUAAUAUUGAUAGACAAGAAGACCCUAUCGAGCUUUAAAACAAUUAGCUAAAUAAAUAGAAUAAACUAAAUCUAGCUAAAAAUUUUGGUUGGGGCGACUAAGGAACACAUAAAGCUUCCUCAACUCAACACUUUAACGCUUUUCAGCAAUGAUCCAAAAUAUUUGAUUAAUAAAAUUAGUUACCGUAGGGAUAACAGCAUAAUCUUUUUUAAAAGUUCCUAUCGAAAAAAAGGUUUGUGACCUCGAUGUUGGACUAGGAUAUCCAGACAGAUGCAGAAGUCUUCAAUGGUUGGUCUGUUCGACCAAUAAAAUCCU